rnacentral:rRNA from 1 species
GAAAGAUAGUGGCGAACGGGUGAGUAACACGUGGGUAACCUGCCCAUAAGAGGGGGAUAACAUCCGGAAACGGGUGCUAAUACCGCAUAGUUUUCUUGAUCGCAUGAUCGGGAAAGGAAAGACGGCCUUUGUGCUGUCGCUUAUGGAUGGACCCGCGGCGUAUUAGUUAGUUGGUGAGGUAACGGCUCACCAAGACGAUGAUACGUAGCCGACCUGAGAGGGUGAUCGGCCACAUUGGGACUGAGACACGGCCCAAACUCCUACGGGAGGCAGCAGUAGGGAAUCUUCCGCAAUGGACGAAAGUCUGACGGAGCAACGCCGCGUGAGUGAAGAAAGGUUUUCGGAUCGUAAAACUCUGUUGUCAGAGAAGAACAAGUUGGAGAGUAACUGCUCCAGCCUUGACGGUAUCUGACCAGAAAGCCACGGCUAACUACGUGCCAGCCGCAGC